AGGGCCCCCCUUCCAGGAGGGGCGGGAAGGAAAAAGGGGGCAGAGACGGGUAGAGGUGGGCGCUCCGGGGUGCCCUUUGCCUGCUGGGGUUCUCCGCUGCGCUCCCUCUGCUGGCUCAUAGCUGCUCCUGUGCGUCCGGGCCCCGGUCCCAUUACCCAGCCUCGGCCUCCCGCUGCGUAAGGAGGCGGGUCCUCAAGAGCCUCCCCCACAGCUUGCGUUGAGCCCCGAUGUCUUGCCCACAGCCCAGAGGCGCCGGGGUCAACUGCUGCCAGCCUGCGGCCCAGGGCGGGGGGUCAGCUCCCCGCCCGCAGGGCCGGCGCGACGUGCAGGAGCCUCCCGCGCGCCAGUCUGCACGCCGCGCACGUCCAGUGACCUCACCAUCAUGCGAAGCUGGCAGAGUUCUGAGCACAUCGCCCACUGGGCGUCCUGUAGGAGAACCUGUAACAGCAAUGCUGCCCUCUCUUUCCAGAAAUGAAUCGUCUACUUUAAUCACGGGGUGAGUCUUAAGAAGGUUCAGGAGCCUCCCCCAGGCUCCUGGCGUUGGUGAACAGCUGCUUCAUAGAGACCCCAGCAUGCAGGCGCUGAGUGGUGGGGCAAGAGGAAAGCAUCUCAGUGCCCCGACCCAGCACCAGGCCCCGGCCCUCCGGCUUGGGGUUUGCAGAAGAGGUGUGUUUUAGAGUGGGGCAUCUUCGCGGGGCACAAGAUGUACCCAUGUCUGAAUAUUAUUUUAAAACUGUUAGUUGCUCUCUAGCAUAGAUGAAGAUGUAAGUUUAAAUGAAGAUGUAAGUAUAAAUGACAUGACUUAUUCCAACAGGUAAAAGCAAUGCCUUUUUAGGUGAUUCUGAAACAAGGGCCAGAGCAGAUUUUUUUUUUUAAUUUUGGUGAAAUUCACAUAGCAUAAAAUUAAGUUUUUUUAGGUGUACAAUUCAGUAGCAUUUAGUACAUUCACCAUGUUGUGCAAGCAUCACCUCUAUUUAGUUCUACAAUAUCUUCAUCACCCUACAAGGAAACCCUGUCCCUGUUAGCAGUCACUCCUCAUCCCCCUCCCCCAGCCCCUGGGAACCACUGAUCUAAUUUCUGUCUCUGUGGAUUUGCUUAUUCUGGAUGUUUCAUAUAAAUGGAAUUGUACAAUA